rnacentral:rRNA from 1 species
UACAGAGGUCUCAAGCGUUGUUCGGAUUCAUUGGGCGUAAAGGGUGCGUAGGCGGCGCGGUAAGUCGGGUGUGAAAUCUCGGGCUUAACUUCGAAACUGCAUUCGAUACUGCCGUGCUUGAGGACUGGAGAGGAGACUGGAAUUUACGGUGUAGCGGUGAAAUGCGUAGAUAUCGUAAGGAAGACCAGUGGCGAAGGCGGGUCUCUGGACAGUUCCUGA